UAAAAUAUCUUAAUUUAAAAGAUGAUCAAAAGUUACCUUAGGUCAUUAUUUUAUUUGACAGGUUUAAUUUAAGAUUCAAGACUUAUUAACAGUGCAUCUCAUCGCAAAGUUAAUUUAGAAGUUAUGUAUUAAUUAAAGAGACAAAAACCUGAACCUCUGAAGUACUCAGCUCACUUUGGAUAACAACCUUCAGAGAGCAACCGGCUAUUAGAAGAUGAUCCAGAUUGCAGAAACAAGGUUUGCCACAACACAACCGAAAUAAAUGAUAAUACUCUAGACUACUAAAGCAGAUAUGUUUUUCAAGCGGAGCAACCGCUUGUUUAAAUGGACAAGUAAAUAGGCAUACGUUUAAGUAAUGGGCACCUAAUAAUCUACAUUGGUUUAGGGAAAGUCAUUCUCAAAAAAAUGAAAAAAUGAAUGUAUG